UGCCGGAUGGUGUAACGGUAGCACGUCAGGUUUUGGUCCUGAAAAUUGGGGUUCGAUUCCCUGUCCGGCAGCAA
rnacentral:tRNA from 1 species